UCUGAAUCGUUGAAAUUGUAGAUGAACUUUUUGAUUAUUAUACCACUGAAAAUUCAAUAGUGGUUAUUACCUACUUAGUGGUAUCACUAACUGUUUCAGAAGAGUUAUUCAAAAAAAGGGACGACAAAAAAUACCACUCGAUCCGUCCCUGGGGUAGCCGAGGAAUGCAUCUUCUCCCCAUACCACCAGUCGAACGGAGAAGCGAUUCAAGCAGCAGGUUUCGGUCCUAGUCGGUCAUUCAAGGUAGUAAGUUCACAGAUUCCCUCUGGCAGGUUGGUAUCUCGCCACACCUGCGUAUUCAUUCGCUUCGGCUAAGUCGGCUGGGGCACACUGAUUUGCGUCGUUUGUUUUCCACCUGUUGUCAGCGACGGGCUGUUUUGUGAUCACCUUUCGAAACUACCUGUGCUUCGAUCGUUGUGUUAUUUAUGUAGUGUUACGGUUUAGACACUGUGUUUAUUUUUGCCGACUCGGAAUUAGUUUUGAAUUCUCACCAUCAAAAUCGGAUAAGAGCUAAUUACGCAGAUAAAUCAAAUUCAUCCAA